AUUGAACGCUGGCGGCAGGCCUAACACAUGCAAGUCGAACGAGUGGCGGACGGGUGAGUCAUGUCGGGGAAACUGCCUGAUGGAGGGGGAUAACUACUGGAAACGGUAGCUAAUACCGCAUACCAUCAGAUGUGCCCAGAUGGGAGUAGCUGGUGGGUGGGGUAACGGCUCACCAAGGCCACGAUCCCUAGCGGGCCUGAGAGGGUGACCGGCCACACUGGAACUGAGACACGGUCCAGACUCCUACGGGAGGCAGCAGUAGGGAAUAUUGCACAAUGGGCGCAAGCCUGAUGCAGCAAUGCCGCGUGUAUGAAGAAGGCCUUCGGGUUGUAAAGUACUUUCAGUGGGGAGGCGUUACCCGCAGAAGAAGCACCGGCUAACUCCGUGCCAGCAGCCGCGGUAAUUC
rnacentral:rRNA from 1 species